rnacentral:rRNA from 1 species
AUUGAACGCUGGCGGCAGGUUUAACACAUGCAAGUCGAGCGGGGUGAUGGUGCUUGCACUAUCACUUAGCGGCGGACGGGUGAGUAAUGCUUAGGAAUCUGCCUAUUAGUGGGGGACAACAUCUCGAAAGGGAUGCUAAUACCGCAUACGUCCUACGAGAGAAAGCAGGGGAUCACUUGUGACCUUGCGCUAAUAGAUGAGCAUAAGUCGGAUUAGCUAGUUGGUGGGGUAAAGGCCUACCAAGGCGACGAUCUGUAGCGGGUCUGAGAGGAUGAUCCGCCACACUGGGACUGAGACACGGCCCAGACUCCUACGGGAGGCAGCAGUGGGGAAUAUUGGACAAUGGGGGGAACCCUGAUCCAGCCAUGCCGCGUGUGUGAAGGAGGCCUUAUGGUUGUAAAGCACUUUAAGCGAGGAGGAGGCUCUUUUGGUUAAUACCCAGAAUGAGUGGACGUUACUCGCAGAGUAAGCACCGGCUAACUCUGUGCCAGCCGCCGCAGUAA